rnacentral:tRNA from 1 species
ACCUGGCUGGGUCAGUCUGUAGAGCAUGUGACUCUUGAUCUUGAGGUUGUGGGUUCAAGCCCCACACUGGGUA